GUAAUGUUUCUUGCUCAAAUGAGUAUUCCAAUCACACUUGCAAUUAGCAUGCAUAUCAUCAUUGUUGCUGGCUGAGAUGCUCAUUUGAUCAAGCAGUGUUAG
rfam:Cicer arietinum chromosome Ca4, whole genome shotgun sequence.